rnacentral:rRNA from 1 species
UAUGUUUACUUGACCGACGUUGCUUCGGCGGGCCCGAUCUCUACGGACCGCCGGGGGACUCUAACAAGUCCUCUGGCCUGUGCCCGCCGGUGGCCACCUUCUAAAAAAUUCUCUAGAAUCGUGUCUCCUGUCUAAGUCUAUGAUUUCUUCAAUGAAAAAACAAAAAACUUUCAACAACGGAUCUCUUGGUUCUGGCAUCGAUGAAGAACGCAGCGAAAUGCGAUAAGUAAUGCGAAUUGCAGAAUUCCAGUGAGUCAUCGAAUCUUUGAACGCACAUUGCGCCCUUUGGUAUUCCGAAGGGCAUGCCUGUUCGAGCGUCAUUAUCACCCCUCAAGCCCCCUGGGUUUGGCAUUGGACGGUCUGGUUUCGGUUGACGAAACCCCUCCUAAAGUGAAUGACGGCGGCUUGUCUGACCCCCGGUACACUGAGCUUCUUAACUGAGCACGUAUCGGUUCAAGUGGUUGGCAGACGACGGUCUCCUCCCUCUCAGCAGGGAAAAGAAGUCCUUCUUCUUUAUUUUACAAGGUUGACCUCGGAUCAGGUAGGGAUACCCGCUGAACUUAAGCAUAUCAAUAA